rnacentral:rRNA from 1 species
UACAGAGGUCUCAAGCGUUGUUCGGAUUCAUUGGGCGUAAAGAGCGUGUAGGCGGCCAGGUAGGUCCGUUGUGAAAACUGGAGGCUUAACCUCCAGCUGUCGAUGGAAACCAUCUGGCUAGAGUCCGGAAGAGGAGAGUGGAAUUCCUGGUGUAGCGGUGAAAUGCGCAGAUAUCAGGAAGAACACCCGUGGCGAAGGCGGCUCUCUGGGACGGUACUGACGCUGAGACGCGAAAGCGUGGGGAGCGAACAGG